rnacentral:rRNA from 1 species
GGGGAUCUACCCAGUACUACGGAAUAACAGUUAGAAAUGACUGCUAAUACCGUAUACGCCCUUUUGGGGAAAGAUUUAUCGGUAUUGGAUGAACCCGCGUUUGAUUAGCUAGUUGGUGAGGUAAUGGCUCACCAAGGCUACGAUCAAUAGCUGGUCUGAGAGGAUGAUCAGCCACACUGGGACUGAGACACGGCCCAGACUCCUACGGGAGGCAGCAGUGGGGAAUAUUGGACAAUGGGCGCAAGUGAUCCAGCCAUUCCGCGUGAGUGAUGACGGCCCUAGGGUUGUAAAGCUCUUUCAACGGUGAAGAUAAUGACGGUAACCGUAGAAGAAGCCCCGGCUAACUUCGUGCCAGCAGCCGCGGUAAUACGAAGGGGGCUAGCGUUGUUCGGAAUUACUGGGCGUAAAGCGCACGUAGGCGGAUUGUUAAGUUAGGGGUGAAAUCCCGGGGCUCAACCCCGAACUGCCUCUAAUACUGGCAA